UGGGGAAUCUUGCACAAUGGGCGAAAGCCUGAUGCAGCAACGCCGCGUGCGGGAAGACAGCCCUAGGGUUGUAAACCGCUUUCAGCAGGGAAGAAACUGACGGUACCUGCAGAAGAAGAUGCGGCCAACUACGUGCCAGCAGCCGCGGUGACACGUAGGCAUCAAGCGUUAUCCGGAUUUAUUGGGCGUAAAGAGCUCGUAGGCGGUUCGGUAAGUCGGGUGUGAAAACUCUGGGCUCAACCCAGAGAGGCCACUCGAUACUGCUGUGACUAGAGUGCGGUAGGGGAGCGGGGAAUUCCUGGUGUAGCGGUGAAAUGCGCAGAUAUCAGGAGGAACACCAGUGGCGAAGGCGCCGCUCUGGGCCGUAACUGACGCUGAGGAGCGAAAGCAUGGGUAGCAAACAGGAUUAGAUACCCUGGUAGUCCAUGCCGUAAACGUUGGGCACUAGGUGUGGGUCUCAACCGAACGAGAUCCGCGCCGUCGC
rnacentral:rRNA from 1 species